GGUUGCUUUGCCAUCUUUAAAGAUAUUCAUGAGGAUAUCUGGGAGACUCCAAGAGUUCACAUGAUAAUGUUCUUGAUCUGGACAGGAGAACAAGGAACACUGAGAGACCUUGGAUACCUGGGUGGCUCAGUUGGUUGAACGGCCUACACUUGUUUUUAGCUCAAGUCAUGCUCUCCUGGUUCGUGGGACUGAGCCCCAUGUAGGGCUGCACUGAUAGUGUGGAGCCUACCUGGUUUUGUCUCUCUCCCUCCCUCUUUCUCUGCCCCUCCCCGCCCAUGCUCUUUCUCUCUUAAAAUAAAAAAUAAACUUAAAGAAAAAAACUUUUGGAGAUCUUUUACAAUUUAAUAUAUAAUUUGAUUUUUGAUACAUACAGUGCCUUCAUCUUACAUAUAAGUUAUUUAAAUGUUAUAUUAAGAUAAUUUUAAAUAAAAUUUUAAUCUGUACUUCCCUAACAUCUGUUUCAACACCAGUGUCACGUUUUAAACUAAUAUUACAAUUUUGGCAUUUCUGAAGAAUUUGUGCUGCAUAGGAUUUCUGACAUUUUAUUUAAAUAAUUCAGCUGUUAAUGCAUUUUGUGUUCUGAAGUAACAAUUUGCAUUUAUGUAAUAAAAAUGACAGUUUCACUCAUCAAAUUUCUAUUACCCUUGUAGUUUAUAAACUCAUCUUUCUGUUUU